AGCAAUAGUUAGAGGCGCGCCUAAUCUCAGCAUUCAUAAUGCUGGGGUCGGUGGUUCAAGUCCACCCGUAGCUACCA
rnacentral:tRNA from 1 species